UACGAAGGGGGCUAGCGUUGCUCGGAAUCACUGGGCGUAAAGGGUGCGUAGGCGGGUCUUUAAGUCAGGGGGGAAAUCCUGGAGCUCAACUCCAGAACUGCCUUUGAUACUGAAGAUCUUGAGUUCGGGAGAGAUGAGUGGAACUGCGAGUGUAGAGGUGAAAUUCGUAGAUAUUCGGAGGAACACCAGUGGCGAAGGCGGCUCACUGGUCCAUUACUGACGCUGAGGUGCGAAAGCGUGGGGAGCAAACAGG
rnacentral:rRNA from 1 species